CAUUGUGGAUGAACAGUAGUAUUAGGAAUAUGUUAUUGGACCAGUAGUCCAGAGACAUUGGCUAAUGAUCCUGGGGCAUGAUCUCAACCAUGGCAAUCCACAGGCUAAACGAUCAACCUUCUCUGUUCCAGAGGCAGAACAGCCCUCAAGAGGCAGCGUGGUGCUUUAUAGUAGGGGGGCAGAUGUUCAAGGAACCUUCAACAUUGAUGCCGUGAGACUUCAUGGGAUCUAGCCAAACACAGGCCGCAUCCAUGGAAAGAGGAACAGUCAAUGUUUUGGGUCUGUAACCCUUUGAUAGGACAGUCCAGUGUCUGGAAUCAGCCUAAUGAAUCUUCACUGCACUCCUUAUAUGGAAAGUACAACCUUCAAUAGUUAUGUAAAAUUGUACACAAUACUGCAGAUGCAAUCUCAUUAAGGCCAUAUACAGUCGCAAUAUGACAUCCUUACUGCUGUAGUCAAACCCUCCCAUUUUCCUUCCUGUGUGUUGGCCCUCAGUGAAUUGUGUGAAGCCAGCCAGAUCCCUUUGAAGAGCAACACCACCCGAUCUCUCAUCACCGAACAUAUAUUCACCUUUCUGUUAUGUUCACCAAAGUGGAUGACCUCACAGUUUUCCACAUCACGUUCCAUCUGCAAUGUUUUCGCCCUUUCACCCAGCUUGUCCUUAUCCCCCAAAGCCUCCUUACAUACUUGCAAUCCUGCCUAGUUUAGUAUCAUCAGCAAACUUGGAAAUAUAUUGGUCCCCUCAGCCAAAUUGUUGAUAUGGAUUGCUAGUAGCUGGAGCCCAAGUGCUGACCAACCUGAGAAGGAUCUGUUGAUUCCCACUAUGUGUUUUCUGUUCAAUCUAUAUUGAGUGUAUUAUCUCCAACUCCUGUAUAGGACUUUAUCAAAAGUCUUACGUACCACAUCCACUGAUCCCCUCUUAUCUAGUUCACUCAUCAUAUCCUCAAAGAACACAAGUAGAUUAGUUGUGCAUGGUUUACCUUCCAUAAUUCCAUGUUGACUCUGCUCAAUCUUAUUAUUCUUUUCAAGGUGAACCAAAGGACUGCAGAUGAAAAACACUAUGAUGCUAGAGGAACUCAGCAGGCUGGCAGCAUUCACGGAGAAAAGCAGGCGGUCAACGUUUCGGGUCAGGACCCUUCUUCAGGACCUGACCGCCUGCUUUUCUCCACCAAUGCUGCCUGGCCUGCUGAGUUCCUCCGGCAUCAUUGCGUUUUUCCAUCCUUUUCAAGGUGUUCUGGAAUGACAUCCUUCAAUAUAAUUUCCUGCAUUUUCCCUACCACAGACUGUGCGCGACCAGAUACAGUCUGACCUGCUGAGGAUUUCUAGUAUUCUUGUUUCCCUUUCAUAUUUAUCUGCCAACUCUAUAUCUUAGAAAAAUGUCAAAUAAAAUAAAAAGGAAGACAUAGCACCUCUGAUAAUCUCAGAAUUUUUCAAAGCACUUUACAGUUGAUGAAGUUAUCUAUAUCACCAUUGUAAUGUAGCAGCCAAACUGCACACAGCAAGGUCCCAUAGAAAUAAAUGACGAGAUAAUCAGUUAUUGCAAAUGCUGGUCCAGACGAAUAGAUUUUCUGUUUAUCUCAGGGACAAAACAGGUCACAAGCAUACAUGGAGAGAGAAACAGGACAGGUAUAACUAUCUGAAUUAAAUUGAGAUGUAAUUUAGUAAUUGUCUGUAAAAUGGCAUCUCUGCCGUUGUGGUGCUCCCCCAAACUCAACACAGAAGCAUAAAUCGAGAACACAUGAUAAAGUCCAUGGAGCAGAAUUACAUACACUUAUGAUACAGGGCCAUUAAGUACAUCUGUAAUCUGUGACACUUUUGAGGUAACAUGAAGAAAAUGAUAUAAGGUUACUCUAGAGGUGAAAUUAAAUCUGCAAAUUAACUCUGGGCCAAUACUUUUAUUUAGUAACCUCCUUAUGUAAAACAUGCUCUACUUAGGUAUCAGUAAAUAAUUAGUGCAUUAUUUACUUUAAAAAAACACAAAAGCACAUUGUCUUGAAAUUCGUUCACCAGAUUAAAAUCAUGAUUCCAAGUGGAGUCUUCAGAUAGUCACCCCGUUGCUACAGAAUCUAACUGCAAUUGGGAGGGCCUGCAUUUCUGAUCCCCGUGCAAGUGAGGACUUUGUGCUGUGUUGCUGGUAUAACCUGGACAAAUGCAUGCAUUGUUUAUGGAGGGAGACAGCCCAAUGGGGCAAGUGAAGUUAUUGAGAAGUCUUCAUAAAUCCCUGGAAAGCUUGGAGGGAAAAACUCAAAGAUAUGCUCAGAGGAAGUAACGUAAGUAACGUUUUGAUCCCUCAAAAACUCCAUUUAAGUUUUUGAGGGAUCAAAACCAAAAUAUUCGAAAUUGAUAGAUUGUAAUAUAUAACAAUGAAACAUUUGCAAUCUCUCUUCCUGAAGUGUUCACCAGUCGGUAUUAGCCCAUUUUCAAAUGGUAAUGACUUACUUAUUUAUUGGCAAAGAAAACCAAUGAGGGAUUACAUGUACGUUUGGAAUGCAUUCUUCUACAGCUAUUAUUCUAUAUUUAAUAUCAAGAAUGGAGUCAAUACUUUAACUUUCUCCCAAACUUGUCUGAAGCUGUACUAAUUUAUUUUCAUUGACGCACUUGACUAGCAGGGUUCCUCUGAAGCAAUUAAUAGCUUUUAUAGGAAAUAAGCUGUUGAAUCUGAAGUGAGUGAAGUUCAGCACGUAGUCACAUACUAGAGCUUUCUUUAAUCCUUCAAAGCCCAGGACUGCCAUGGUAUUGGCAUCACUGUAUGCUGUUGUGAAAUGUCACUUCGAGUGCAUGUUAGUGAAUGGGAAAGCGAAGUAGGGAUUCCAGCUUUCACUCAAAAUAAUAGAAAACAAUAGAAAAUAUUGCAAUUAUAUUUAAGUGAGUAUUUCAUUUAUUUAAAAUAAGGACAGCAUUGUCAACUAAAGAUAAAUCACAAGCAGGAAAUGUACUCCUCCACAAUACAAGUACAAAGUUGCUUCUUUGCCAAAUGAAACAUUAGCAGUAAUUUUCAAUCUUCAUUAUGCUUCAAAAUAAAGACAAGCUGGAAUAUAAGCUAGUGCUCUGGGAACACUAGUAACCCCUGAAAAUGGAUAUUAAUGAUCACAAUUUAUGACAAUGAUUACUUUGUAAAGAUAACCUCACACCUGCCAACCACACCAACUAUACUAUACUCUUUGAGGACCUCAGCAGGUCAAGCAGC